UAAUGAGGAUCUGAAUCGCUCCGUCUCCUUAGCUUAACACAUGCAAGUCGAACGGGUCUGCCUUGUUUUUUCGCGGGGUGGGUCAGUGGCGAACGGGUGAGUAACACGUGAGUAACCUGCCCCUCACUUCUGGAUAACCGCUUGAAAGGGUGUCUAAUACGUGGUGUUCUGGCUGUGCCGCAUGGUGUGGCUGGGAAAGAUUCACUUUUGUGGUGUUUUGGUGGGGGAUGGGCUCGCGGCCUAUCAGCUUGUUGGCGGGGUGAUGGCCUGCCAAGGCUUUGACGGGUAUCCGGCCUGAGAGGGUGGGCGGUCACACUGGGACUGAUAUACGGCCCAUACUCCUGCGGGAGGCAGCAGUGGGGGGUAUUGCACAAUGGGCGGAAGCCUGAUGCAGCGACGUCGCGUGAGGGAUGGAGGCCUUCGGGUUGUGAACCUCUUUCGCCGGUGAAGAAGGCCCUGUUCCUUGUGGUGGGGCUGACGGUAGCCGUGUUAUGAAGCGCCGGCUAACUACGUGCCAGCAGCCGCGGUAAUACGUAGGGCGCGAGCGUUGUCCGGAAUUAUUGGUCGUAAAGGG
rnacentral:rRNA from 1 species